UUUCCGGUUGAUCCCGCCGGACCUGACUGCUAUCGGAUUGAUACUAAGCCAUGCGAGUCAUUGCAGUAAUGCAAGGCAGACGGCUCAGUAACACGUAGUCAACUUACCCUAUGGACGAGGAUAAUCUCGGGAAACUGAGCAUAAUACUCGAUAGAUCAUUAUGCCUGGAAUGGUUUAUGAUUAAAACGAUUCGUCGCCAUAGGAUGGGACUGCGGCCUAUCAGCUUGUUGGUGAGGUAAUGGCCCACCAAGGCGAUUACAGGUACGGGCUCUGAGAGGAGAAGCCCGGAGAUGGGUACUGAGACAAGGACCCAGGCCCUAUGGGGCGCAGCAGGCGAGAAAACUUUGCAAUGUGCGAAAGCACGACAAGGUUAGUCCGAGUGAUUUCUGCUAAAGAAAUCUUUUGCAAGUCAUAAAACCACUAGUGAAUAAGGGGUGGGCAAGUUCUGGUGUCAGCCGCCGCGGUAAAACCAGCACCUCAAGUGGUCAGGAGGAUUAUUGGGCCUAAAGCAUCCGUAGCCGGCUCUGUUAGUUUUCGGUUAAAUCUAUGUGCUCAACGCAUGGGCUGCCGAAAAUACUGCAGAGCUAGGGAGUGGGAGAGGUAGACGGUACUCGGUAGGAAGGGGUAAAAUCCUUUGAUCUAUUGAUGACCACCUGUGGCGAAGGCGGUCUACCAGAACACGUUCGACGGUGAGGGAUGAAAGCUGGGGGAGCAAACCGGAUUAGAUACCCGGGUAGUCCCAGCUGUAAACGAUGCAGACUCGAUGAUGCAUUGGCUUAUCGCCAAUGCAGUGUCGCAGGGAAGCCGUUAAGUCUGCCGCCUGGGAAGUACGUACGCAAGUAUGAAACUUAAAGGAAUUGGCGGGGGAGCACCACAAGGGGUGAAGCCUGCGGUUCAAUUGGAGUCAACGCCGGGA
rnacentral:rRNA from 1 species